ACGCCCCGCCCUGUGCGAAGGGGUCUGGGAAGUCGGGUUUUCUGCGAGCAAUAGUCGCAGCCCUCUAUCCGCUCCUUACGGGUGGCCUCAGCCUUCCUCGUUCUGCUAUAGGGUCUUGCAGUGGCUUCCGGACCUUUGAAAGAAUUAAAGCAGCAGGAACUGAGGCUGCGGAUACCUGAGGGACCUUUGUCUGAGGGGCAGGCUCUUACCCUGCAGGAGUCUUAGGGCCUCUAGCCUGCUCUUAACCCUUUCUUUUUACUGCUUUUAUCCCUUCUCCCGACUGUCCUUAGUCUGUAUCUCUGGCCUUAUUAAAAGGAAGUACAACAAGAUGAGGUAUACAAACGGGUGUUGGAUAACCAGAUGAGAAAGCUGAGGUCAGAAAAAUAAACUGAAAAGCCUGAUCUAGAAGAGAAGUGCAAGUAUCUGACGUCCAGGUUAGUGCUGUUUCUCUGGCUCAUGCCUCCAGACUUCUCUCUUAUAUCCUUACCUCCACCCUCUUUUCUCUUCCUCAACUUGUAAUUAUCGCCCAGCCUCCCAUAUUCCCUUCUACAGCCACUAUGUAGCAGGAAAAGAGACCCUUCAGAGGUCAGAGUGUUCCAAAUGGAAAGCAAAACAAGACAAAAUGCCCCAAGGGUCUUAUUUCAAUUUUAGUGAAAUUUAUAAUGAAUACAGAAAAUAUUUGCAGAUAAGCAAAAAUAAGAAACUCUUCCAAGGAUAAGUUCAGCUAUAGCACAUCUAAGAAAAUUACUGGUAGAAGUCCCCACUGUGGUGCAGUGCAUUAAGGAUCCACUGUGUUUAGCCACAGCUAUGGCAUGAGUUGAAACUUGUGUCUUGGAUUCAGUCCCUGGGCUGGGAACAUCCCUUUGCUACAGGUGCAGUGGAAAAAGAAAAUUACUGGCAAGAAGCUAUGUUGAUACAAAUAAUACCAGGUCAAAUCAGCUCCUUCUACCCUUUUGGAUAUUUUUGAAAAUGGCCAUUAUUUCCAUGAGAACAAUGCAUACUUAUUUAAGCAAAUACAAAAAAAAAAAAAACUUUCCAAAUCCCACAAUCCAGAGGUAACCAUUUUUUUAAAAAGUUCAUGUUAUACUCUUUCAGAUAUCUCUUAAAAAUAAAAAACACCAAGACAUAUAAAUAUGAUAUAUGAUAAACUGGAUUUUAUAAUGCACAUGGUUCUUUUCUCACUGAAUACUGUCAUGAACAAUAUCAUUUUAAAAAGUUGUGUAGUGUCUGUUAAGUGGAUGUAGUCAUUUAUCUAACUAGUAUUCUAUCAAUUCAUUUCUGUUUUUUUCAAAUGUUUACAAUUUUAAAGAACUCUGUGAUGAUCUUUUUAAUGCAUGUACCUUUGCACAGCUGUGCAACUAUCACCUUAAACAAAUUCCUAGAAGUGACAUUAAUGUCAGCCAGUUCUUCAACAUUAUCAGCUAGAAAAAAGAAAGUUGUGAUUACUUUGAAAAAUGCACUUUAUAUGUGUGAUUCAAGACAACCAGAUUCUCCCAUGUGAAAUAGACAAAUCUUGUGGUCUGUCUGGUGUAGUAUUCAGUAACAUGUAUCAAAGCUCCUUGGAGCAGGGUAGCUGGACACUGCUGGUUUUUUAAACCAAAUACUUUCUUUCUUACUAUGGGAGCUCUGAUUUUUUUCAGGGCGACAGUGUAUCCAAUUAAAAGUAAUUUACUUCCUCAGUCUCCUAUAAACCAGGUUAUCCAUGUGACCUGUCAACAAAAUGAAAGUGGAUAUUGCUAGGAGAGGUUCAAAGUUUCCUAGUAAUCAUUGGAUCUGUACCCAGAACAGCAACACAAUGCUAGAGGUGGAAUAGCAGUAUUUCAACCACAAUAACAAAAGCUCUACACGCUAUUAAUAGCAUAGGAAGCCAGAAGGGUUUAGGUUCAUAAUUGCUUUAGAAGGCCAGCUUAUCAACUAUGGACUGCCCACUUCUGGAUUUGUUUUUAUUAUAAGGGAAAAUAAAUCCCUCCUAUUUAAGGCUUUGUUGUUUCAGUUUUCUGUUGUAAGGACUGAAUGCAAUUCCUAACUGACAUAAAAAGAUAGUGAAACUCUGAGUUCCCAUCGUGGCUCAGUGGUUAACGAAUCCAACUAGGAACGAUGAGGUUGUGUGUUUGAUCCCUGGCCUUGCUCAGUGGAUUAAGGAUCCGGUGUUGCCAUGAGCGGUGGUGUAGAUUGCAGACACGCCUUGGAUCCCGAGUUGCUGUGGCUCUGGCAUAGGCCUGUGGCUACAGCUCUUCUUCGACCCCUAGCCUGGGAACCUCCAUAAGCCGCGGGAGCAGCCCUAGAAAUGGCAAAAAGACAAAAAAAAAAA
rnacentral:lncRNA from 1 species